UGAUCCUCUUUCACUUUUUUUUUUUUUUGCUGUUGCCCCCUCCAGAGUUUGGUCCACAGGUUUCGUAAGAACCGAGAGAGGAGGGGCUGCAAAGGAAAAAAAAAAAAUGAA
rnacentral:ribozyme from 1 species